AAAGAAAGUCGAAAUGUCGACUUUUCAUAAAAUGCAAAAUGUCGAAAAGUCGACUUUUCAUAAAAUGCAAAAAGUCUAAAAGUCGAAAAGUCGACUUUUCGUUUCAACUAUAGAACCCUACUAUGGACUUCUCUGCGAGAUAUUCUAUAUACUACAACAUGAACUAGUCUAUAAACUAGUUUAAAAACUAAUCUAUUGACUAGUCAAAGAACUAGAUUAUAGCCUAUCCUAUGAGCUAGUCCAUGAACUAGUGUUUGACUUGUCAAUUAAUUGUCUACGGACUAGUAUAUUAACUACCACAUUAACUAGUAUCUAUACUACUACUACUACUAUUUUUUGAACUCAAUAGACUAGUCAAUGUUGUAGACUAAGAAUAAGACUUUAGACUAUUCAACUGACUAGUCUAUGACAUAUUUUAUUAGCUAGUCAAUUGAUUUGUUUAUGGAUUAUUCCUUUAACUUGUUAAUAAACUAGUCUAUGAAGAAACUAUUGACCAAUAUAUAUAUUAUACUACUCUGUUGGCUUGUCUAUUAACGAGUAGACUCGGAUUAGUCUAUUGACUAGUGUCUGGAUUAGUCUAUUGUCUAGUGUAAGAAGUACAAUAUUUGUUAGUCUUUAAGCAAACCUAUAGCAUAGUCUUUGAACUAGUUUCCUGACUAGUUUAUGGCACAAUUAUUAUUGGAGUCAUAUCCAUAACUUUAAUAAGUUUCCCUUUUGUAAAUUUUUAUUGGCAACACUGUUAUUAACCAUUAAUUGUUUAUACUCUUUCUCUCUCAUCUAUACACAAGAUCCGUUAAAAGAAAAACAACAAAAAAUAUGAAUAAUGGCUGGCUACUGGCUACGAUCAAAACCUAAAGAGUUUUUAGUGUAAAAUUAAGUCGAGUGAGUUGUGGUCGGUUCGUGAAGUGUAGUUGUAUUUUUCAUUUAAUUAAAAAAAAAAACAAAAAUAAAUAAAUAAAUUUUACAAAAAAAUAAGAAAAUACUUAUAAAUUGAUUUGAGUCAUAAAUAAGAAAUAAUUAAAUACAGGUUUUUUUCCACUAAAUUUUAUAAAGAAAUUUGUUUUGAUUAAUAAAACAAAUAUUCAUUAUUAUUUUUCUAUUAAAAUACAACAAAAUUUUCUUUAACUUGUUUUACAACUACAAAAAAAAUCAGAAGUUCUUUUACCACAACUACUUUUAACUUCGUUUGACUUUGUUUUACAAACAAGGAAUCGUACGAAGUCUUUUAACAACAAUAACAAAAACAACCUAUAAAAACAUAAACCGGAAAUACCCUUGAAUUUGCUUUUUCUUCUCUCUCUCUCUCUUUAACAUUCACUCUACGAAGAAGUCAAUGUUUGUAAUGAUUGUAAAGAUUGUUAAGAUAUAUUGAAAGUGUCGAGAAUUGCAGCAGUAGCAACAACAACAAUAACAACAACGUGAAUUCAUCAACUUAAAGCAAUUCAGGUGUUUCCAGUAAAAUUAUAACAACAACAACCACAAAAAGUGUUUAUAUAUUUUGGAAUUUUUAUUUUCAAAUUAAACUUUCUUUAAAUAAUCUGUAUGUUUUAAUAAUUAU
rnacentral:lncRNA from 1 species